rnacentral:misc_RNA from 1 species
GGGGCUCUAAGCUGGUUAUAAAUAAACAAUUCACUGUUUAAUAUAAUAACUAAGAUGUUCAAGUGUCUCUCACCCAACAGAGAUUACCAGAAUUCUGCAACCUAUUUCUUUUCAUGUGUUGUGAAGAUAGAUGAAUUCCAUGGGAUAAUUUUCUCUUUAUAGGGAGAGACAGACAGGGAUGAAACGGUGAUGGGCGUUGGCAGUGGUAGAC